GCUGAACUAGGUGAUUGAAACUUUAAUAGUAAAAGAUGAUGCAUUGUAUCAGUCAAUUAGACUUUAUUUUAUCAUGGAGAGCAUAAAUUAUUUGAAGUCAUUGAUUCCAUACUGAUGAUUUAAUGGAUUUCUAGAAUUCUAAUUACAAUGUUUCCUAAUUUUAAUAUUAUAUCACCUCAUUUUAUGUUAUUAUUGCUAUAUACAAAGAUAUAAACAUACAUCAUAUUAUCAAAAAAUUAUAUACUAUCACUAUGUAUUAAUGAUGCUACAAAAAAUUAUCACAAUGCUAAUAAUCAAAUCCGAACCUAAGUUAGUGACUAAAAACAAAUCCAAACCUAACAUCAGUGACUAAAAGGAAAAAAAAUUUAGUUGAGUGGCAAGUUUCUAAAAACAUAAUAAGUUCGGUGACAAAAAA
rnacentral:lncRNA from 1 species